rnacentral:rRNA from 1 species
UACGUAGGGGGCAAGCGUUGUCCGGAUUUAUUGGGCGUAAAGAGCGUGUAGGCGGCCAUUCAGGUCAGCUGUGAAAACUCGAGGCUCAACCUCGAGACGUCGGUUGAAACCGUUUGGCUAGAGUCCGGAAGAGGAGAGUGGAAUUCCCGGUGUAGUGGUGAAAUGCGCAGAUAUCGGGAAGAACACCCGUGGCGAAGGCGGCUCUCUGGGACGGUACUGACGCUGAGACGCGAAAGCGUGGGGAGCGAACAGG